AUGCUGAAAAUUAAAAAAAAUGUUUCAUUUAGGAUUCGAAACCGGGUACAUCAAAAAAUUGCAUGACUUCUUACCACUGGGCUCGAGUGAGCUUUUAUUAAAUAUGUUGGUUUUUAUAUAUAAGUAUAUUAUAUUGAAUUCGUACCCCACUAACAAAACCCAGUAACUGUAAACCCUAUUCUUUACCACACUUCACUCUCUCGACUCUUAACCUCUUCUCCUUCUCUAAAACGCGUUUUACCUCUGCCUCCACCGUCCUUGCCGCCGCCGGAGACGUCCUAGCCGGCGUCGGAGCCGUCCUUCCCGCCGCCGUCCUUCCCGCUCUUGUUUUGUGUUCCUUUGUACACGGUUCUUGCCAUCUUAACCUCUGUUCCAUCUCUCAAAAGCUUGCUGCACCUUGUGCCUCCACCGUCCUUGCCGCCGCCUCCGUCCCUGCUGCGCCGUUGUCUCUUUGAAUUCAGAAACGCAAUGGAGUCUCUCUCAGGAAUCAAACCCUUUACUCUCUCGUGCGAAUCAAAUCCCUAGUUCGAUGGAGUCUCCUGUGGGCAGCUCCUAUAGACGUCUUCUAUUGCCGCUCCUUCUCUUCCGUUCUGUGCGCGGCUCCUCCGUUUCUGUGCGCACACAUCUAUUCUUCUCUGUGACAGCCAUCACACUUGUACGAUUUCCUCUCCAAAACUGUUUUGUUGUAUCAAACAAGCCAACAGAUGGGAAGCGUUUUAUCUGAUCCCUUGGGAAGGUAAUCUUUCAUACCUAGUCACUACUCACUAGUUGUUUCAUUCAGGUAUCAAAGUGAGCACAGCUUCAAGAUAUAUUGAUUAUAUUCUGCCCUGAAUAAUGGAAUCAUAAAUCUUGUGGACGUGGUAGUGUCUAUCUUAGUUUAGUUUGUUACUUUUACCACUUUAUUUGGAUUUUAAAUUGUACUAAAUAAUGAAGGUUGUGGUUCUUGGAUAUAUCAAGAUCUGAUGCAGUAAAGGCUCAACAUAUUAAAAGAAGCUAUCAUACAAGUUUAAGUUCAAUGAUGCUUUGUUUCAGACACAUUCUUAUUGUUCAAUGUGAAUUGUAUUUUAUGUUCAAGACUUUCCUACAGGGUCAUGCUUGUUGUAUUGAUGGUUGUUCUUACUAUGCAGCUUUUACUCUUGCAAGCUUCUUUGAACGCUACAAGAACUUGGACCUUGCUAGGAAUUUUCAAUUUCCAACCUUGAGACAGGUUAUUUCUUGCUCAAGGAUCAUGCUUUACACCAUUCUAACUAACAUGUGUAUCUGUUUCAGAAUAAUCUUGAGACUAAGAUAGAGAAGUCAAGGAAGAAACUGAAGGAGAUAAAUAAUAGAGCUAAGAAGAUUUGUGGAGUAAACAAGGUAAUUUUCCUUUCUCAACUAAUAUCAAAUUAGAGUUACUUACCAUUUGCUUGAUGUGUAUAAUGAGAUUGCUUAGUUUUAUAUUCUAUAAACCUUCUGUGAAACUGAUUUUCACGUCCUUUUCUUCUUUUGAUCACACUUGGUCCUAGUCUUCAAUAGCAACCCUAGGAUAAAUCCAGCACACCUCUUACAGUUUUUGAAUUGAUUAUGUUAGUUAGUACUUCUUUGGUUGAGAUUGGAUAUUACACUUGAGAGAUUAAAUUCUAGCCUUGCUCUAAUAAGUGUUUCUACCUUGUUAGAAUAAAAGAGAUGAUAAUUAAUACUGGUAUAUCCAGUUUAAUAUUGGUAAAGAAAAUAGUUCAUUUGAUUGCUUCAAUUGCAAUUGGCAGCAAAACAUGAGUACAUUGGAGUGAAAGAGAAAAUCAUCUCUUCUAGCUUUCUCUAG